rnacentral:rRNA from 1 species
AUUCGCCCUUACGGCUCAGUAACACGUAGUCAACAUGCCCAAAGGACGUGGAUAACCUCGGGAAACUGAGGAUAAACCGCGAUAGGCCAAGGUUUCUGGAAUGAGCCAUGGCUGAAAUCUACAUGGCCUUUGGAUUGGACUGCGGCCGAUCAGGCUGUUGGUGAGGUAAUGGCCCACCAAACCUGUAACCGGUACGGGCUUUGAGAGAAGGAGCCCGGAGAUGGGCACUGAGACAAGGGCCCAGGCCCUAUGGGGCGCAGCAGGCGCGAAACCUCUGCAAUAGGCGAAAGCCUGACAGGGUUACUCUGAGUGAUGCCCGCUAAGGGUAUCUUUUGGCACCUCUAAAAAUGGUGCAGAAUAAGGGGUGGGCAAGUCUGGUGUCAGCCGCCGCGGUAAUACCAGCACCCCGAGUGGUCGGGACGUUUAUUGGGCCUAAAGCAUCCGUAGCCGGUUCCACAAGUCUUCCGUUAAAUCCACCUGCUCAACAGAUGGGCUGCGGAAGAUACUAUGGAGCUAGGAGGCGGGAGAGGCAAGCGGUACUCGAUGGGUAGGGGUAAAAUCCGUUGAUCCAUUGAAGACCACCAGUGGCGAAGGCGGCUUGCCAGAACGCGCUCGACGGUGAGGGAUGAAAGCUGGGGGAGCAAACCGGAUUAGAUACCCGGGUAGUCCCAGCUGUAAACGAUGCAGACUCGGUGAUGAGUUGGCUUUAUGCCAACUCAGUGCCGCAGGGAAGCCGUUAAGUUUGCCGCCUGGGGAGUACGGUCGCAAGACUGAAACUUAAAGGAAUUGGCG